rnacentral:rRNA from 1 species
GGAAGUAAAAGUCGUAACAAGGUCUCCGUUGGUGAACCAGCGGAGGGAUCAUUACCGAGUUUACAACUCCCAAACCCAAUGUGAACGUUACCAAACUGUUGCCUCGGCGGGAUCUCUGCCCCGGGUGCGUCGCAGCCCCGGACCAAGGCGCCCGCCGGAGGACCAACCAAAACUCUUUUUGUAUACCCCCUCGCGGGUUUUUUAUAAUCUGAGCCUUCUCGGCGCCUCUCGUAGGCGUUUCGAAAAUGAAUCAAAACUUUCAACAACGGAUCUCUUGGUUCUGGCAUCGAUGAAGAACGCAGCGAAAUGCGAUAAGUAAUGUGAAUUGCAGAAUUCAGUGAAUCAUCGAAUCUUUGAACGCACAUUGCGCCCGCCAGUAUUCUGGCGGGCAUGCCUGUCCGAGCGUCAUUUCAACCCUCGAACCCCUCCGGGGGGUCGGCGUUGGGGAUCGGCCCUGCCUCUUGGCGGUGGCCGUCUCCGAAAUACAGUGGCGGUCUCGCCGCAGCCUCUCCUGCGCAGUAGUUUGCACACUCGCAUCGGGAGCGCGGCGCGUCCACAGCCGUUAAACACCCAACUUCUGAAAUGUUGACCUCGGAUCAGGUAGGAAUACCCGCUGAACUUAAGCAUAUCAAUAAGCGGAGGA